rnacentral:rRNA from 1 species
CAAGUCGAACGGCAGCACGGACUUCGGUCUGGUGGCGAGUGGCGAACGGGUGAGUAAUGUAUCGGAACGUAUCCAAUAAUGGGGAUAACUAGUCGAAAGAUUAGCUAAUACCGCAUACGCCCUACGGGGGAAAGCUAGGGACCUUCGGGCCUGGCGUUAAUGGAGCGGCCGAUAUCUGAUUAGCUAGUUGGUGAGGUAAAAGCUCACCAAGGCGACGAUCAGUAGCUGGUCUGAGAGGACGACCAGCCACACUGGAACUGAGACACGGUCCAGACUCCUACGGGAGGCAGCAGUGGGGAAUUUUGGACAAUGGGCGAAAGCCUGAUCCAGCCAUUCCGCGUGAGUGAAGAAGGCUUUCGGGUUGUAAAGCUCUUUCGCAAGAGAAGAAAACUUAGUCUCUAACAUAGACUGAGGUUGACGGUAUCUUGAUAAGAAGCACCGGCUAACUACGUGCCAGCAGCCGCGGUAAUACGUAGGGUGCGAGCGUUAAUCGGAAUUACUGGGCGUAAAGCGUGCGCAGGCUGUUUUGUAAGUCAGAUGUGAAAUCCCUGAGCUCAACUUAGGAACUGCGUUUGAAACUACAAGACUAGAAUAUGUCAGAGGGGGGUAGAAUUCCACGUGUAGCAGUGAAAUGCGUAGAGAUGUGGAGGAAUACCAAUGGCGAAGGCAGCCCCCUGGGAUAAUAUUGACGCUCAUGCACGAAAGCGUGGGGAGCAAACAGGAUUAGAUACCCUGGUAGUCCACGCCCUAAACGAUGUCUACUAGUUGUUGGUGGAGUAAAAUCCAUGAGUAACGCAGCUAACGCGUGAAGUAGACCGCCUGGGGAGUACGGUCGCAAGAUUAAAACUCAAGGAAUUGACGG